rnacentral:rRNA from 1 species
CUCAGCAGUCACACCGCCUGCAGAUAAGACUUGGUAAUCUUAUAAUGCUAAGCAGGUUUGGGCCUGGCCAGUACUUGGAUGGGAGGCCAAAUAGGAAAGUGUUGCUGCUGGAA